UUUAUUUAGAGUUUGAUCCUAGCUCAGGAUGAACGCUGGCGGCGUGGAUAAGGCAUGCAAGUCGAACGAAUUUUUCAUUUUCAAUGAUGCGAUUAUAUCAAGUCAAAGGUCGUGAAAAAUUAGUGGCGAACGAGGUAGUAAUACAUAGGAACUUCCCCCAGAGUCGUGAAUAAUCCGUCGAAAGACGGACUAAUACACGAUGGUCUCGCAAGAGUAAA
rfam:Parcubacteria bacterium GW2011_GWB1_37_13 TS41_C0042, whole genome shotgun sequence.